rnacentral:rRNA from 1 species
CCUACGGGAGGCAGCAGUGGGGAAUCUUGCACAAUGGGCGAAAGCCUGAUGCAGCAACGCCGCGUGCGGGAAGAAGGCCCUAGGGUUGUAAACCGCUUUCAGUAGGGAAGAAAAUGACGGUACCUACAGAAGAAGGUGCGGCCAACUACGUGCCAGCAGCCGCGGUGACACGUAGGCACCAAGCGUUAUCCGGAUUUAUUGGGCGUAAAGAGCUCGUAGGCGGUUCGGUAAGUCGGGUGUGAAAACUCUGGGCUCAACCCAGAGAGGCCACCCGAUACUGCUGUGACUAGAGUGCGGUAGGGGAGCGGGGAAUUCCUGGUGUAGCGGUGAAAUGCGCAGAUAUCAGGAGGAACACCAGCGGCGAAGGCGCCGCUCUGGGCCGUAACUGACGCUGAGGAGCGAAAGCAUGGGUAGCAAACAGGAUUAGAUACCCUGGUAGUCCAUGCCGUAAACGUUGGGCACUAGGUGUGGGUCUCAACCAACGAGAUCCGCGCCGUCGCUAACGCAUUAAGUGCCCCGCCUGGGGAGGUACGGUCGCGAGACGUAAACUACAANAGUAAGUUAGUACGGCGUUGUAGACGUUGCCGAACGGACGACGACGAGGGAGGAGG